rnacentral:rRNA from 1 species
AUUGAACGCUGGCGGCAGGCUUAACACAUGCAAGUCGAACGAGUGGCGGACGGGUGAGUAAUGUAUGGGGAUCUGCCCGAUAGAGGGGGAUAACUACUGGAAACGGUGGCUAAUACCGCAUACUAUCGGAUGAACCCAUAUGGGAUUAGCUAGUAGGUGGGGUAAAGGCUCACCUAGGCGACGAUCUCUAGCUGGUCUGAGAGGAUGAUCAGCCACACUGGGACUGAGACACGGCCCAGACUCCUACGGGAGGCAGCAGUGGGGAAUAUUGCACAAUGGGCGCAAGCCUGAUGCAGCCAUGCCGCGUGAAUGAAGAAGGCCUUCGGGUUGUAAAGUUCUUUCGGUAGCGAGGCGUUAACUACAGAAGAAGCACCGGCUAACUCCGUGCCAGCAGCCGCGGUAAUUC